CAGAGGGAGACACAGAGAUGGAGAAUUUCCUUCCCUUUUACAAGAGGACAAUUUGCAUCAGUGCAAUGAAGCAGUAUCUGUCACUAUUUAUUUGUCUGCAUCUGUUUCCACAUCUCAGCCGGGCUGUAACUGUGACUCAGGAAAUAAAGCUUUUAAUAGGAAAAUCUGGAGAAUCAGUGAGAAUUCCCUGUGAACACGACGAUACAAACUACCUCACCAUGCUCUGGUACCAGCAAAUUGAAGGACAGGGGAUGAAGCUUAUUGCCCUCUCAGUAGGAAAAGACGAUAAGACUAUUGAAGAUAAAGCUAAUCAGUGGGAUCUGGAGAGACAAGAUAUUCUCAAUUCAACUCUCAUAUUACAUGAAGCAAAGCCUCAGGACUCAGCAGUGUAUUUCUGUGCAGCGAGUACACAGUAGCAAAUACUAUGUCAGGAGCCUGCAGAAAACCUGUAUCUGAGCUCAGCGGGG